rnacentral:rRNA from 1 species
GCCCUUAGAGUUUGAUCCUGGCUCAGGAUGAACGCUAGCGACAGGCUUAACACAUGCAAGUCGAGGGGCAGCACAGGUAGCAAUACCGGGUGGCGACCGGCGCACGGGUGAGUAACGCGUAUGCAACUUACCUAUCAGAGGGGGAUAACCCGGCGAAAGUCGGACUAAUACCGCAUGAAGCAGGGGCCCCGCAUGGGGAUAUUUGCUAAAGAUUCAUCGCUGAUAGAUAGGCAUGCGUUCCAUUAGGCAGUUGGCGGGGUAACGGCCCACCAAACCGACGAUGGAUAGGGGUUCUGAGAGGAAGGUCCCCCACAUUGGUACUGAGACACGGACCAAACUCCUACGGGAGGCAGCAGUGAGGAAUAUUGGUCAAUGGCCGAGAGGCUGAACCAGCCAAGUCGCGUGAGGGAUGAAGGUUCUAUGGAUCGUAAACCUCUUUUAUAAGGGAAUAAAGUGCGGGACGUGUCCCGUUUGUAUGUACCUAUGAAUAGAUGGUA